GAUGAACGCUGGCGGCGUGCCUAAUACAUGCAAGUCGAGCGAACGGACGAGAAGCUUGCUUUUCUGAUGUUAGCGGCGGACGGGUGAGUAACACGUGGAUAACCUACCUAUAAGACUGGGAUAACUUCGGGAAACCGGAGCUAAUACCGGAUAAUAUUUUGAACCGCAUGGUUCAAAAGUGAAAGACGGUCUUGCUGUCACUUAUAGAUGGAUCCGCGCUGCAUUAGCUAGUUGGUAAGGUAACGGCUUACCAAGGCAACGAUGCAUAGCCGACCUGAGAGGGUGAUCGGCCACACUGGAACUGAGACACGGUCCAGACUCCUACGGGAGGCAGCAGUAGGGAAUCUUCCGCAAUGGGCGAAAGCCCGACGGAGCAACGCCGCGUGAGUGAUUAAGGUCUUCGGAUCGUAAAACUCUGUUAUUAGGGAAGAACAUAUGUGUAAGUAACUGUGCACAUCUUGACGGUACCUAAUCAGAAAGCCACGGCUAACUACGUG
rnacentral:rRNA from 1 species